rnacentral:rRNA from 2 species
CUCUGGUAUUGAUUGGUGCUUGCAUCAUGAUUUACAUUUGAGUGAGUGGCGAACUGGUGAGUAACACGUGGGAAACCUGCCCAGAAGCGGGGGAUAACACCUGGAAACAGAUGCUAAUACCGCAUAACAACUUGGACCGCAUGGUCCGAGCUUGAAAGAUGGCUUCGGCUAUCACUUUUGGAUGGUCCCGCGGCGUAUUAGCUAGAUGGUGGGGUAACGGCUCACCAUGGCAAUGAUACGUAGCCGACCUGAGAGGGUAAUCGGCCACAUUGGGACUGAGACACGGCCCAAACUCCUACGGGAGGCAGCAGUAGGGAAUCUUCCACAAUGGACGAAAGUCUGAUGGAGCAACGCCGCGUGAGUGAAGAAGGGUUUCGGCUCGUAAAACUCUGUUGUUAAAGAAGAACAUAUCUGAGAGUAACUGUUCAGGUAUUGACGGUAUUUAACCAGAAAGCCACGGCUAACUACGUGCCAGCAGCCGCGGUAAUACGUAGGUGGCAAGCGUUGUCCGGAUUUAUUGGGCGUAAAGCGAGCGCAGGCGGUUUUUUAAGUCUGAUGUGAAAGCCUUCGGCUCAACCGAAGAAGUGCAUCGGAAACUGGGAAACUUGAGUGCAGAAGAGGACAGUGGAACUCCAUGUGUAGCGGU